UGGGGAAUAUUGCACAAUGGGCGAAAGCCUGAUGCAGCGACGCCGCGUGAGGGAUGACGGCCUUCGGGUUGUAAACCUCUUUCAGCAGGGAAGAAGCGAAAGUGACGGUACCUGCAGAAGAAGCACCGGCUAACUACGUGCCAGCAGCCGCGGUAAUACGUAGGGUGCGAGCGUUGUCCGGAAUUAUUGGGCGUAAAGAGCUUGUAGGCGGUUUGUCGCGUCUGCUGUGAAAAUCCGGGGCUCAACCCCGGACUUGCAGUGGGUACGGGCAGACUAGAGUGUGGUAGGGGAGACUGGAAUUCCUGGUGUAGCGGUGAAAUGCGCAGAUAUCAGGAGGAACACCGAUGGCGAAGGCAGGUCUCUGGGCCACUACUGACGCUGAGAAGCGAAAGCAUGGGGAGCGAACAGGAUUAGAUACCCUGGUAGUCCAUGCCGUAAACGUUGGGCGCUAGGUGUGGGACUCAUUCCACGAGUUCCGUGCCGCAGCUAACGCAUUAAGCGCCCCGCCUGGGGAGUACGGCCGCAAGGCUAAAACUCAAAGGAAUUGACGGGGUCAUAGCUGUUUCCU
rnacentral:rRNA from 1 species